rnacentral:rRNA from 1 species
AUUGAACGCUGGCGGCAUGCCUUACACAUGCAAGUCGAACGGCAGCACGGGAGCAAUCCUGGUGGCGAGUGGCGAACGGGUGAGUAAAGUAUCGGAACGUGCCCAGUCGUGGGGGAUAACGUAGCGAAAGUUACGCUAAUACCGCAUACGAUCUAUGGAUGAAAGCGGGGGAUCGCAAGACCUCGCGCGAUUGGAGCGGCCGAUAUCAGAUUAGGUAGUUGGGGGGGUAAAGGCUCACCAAGCCGACGAUCUGUAGCUGGUCUGAGGGGACGACCAGCCACACUGGGACUGAGACACGGCCCAGACUCCUACGGGAGGCAGCAGUGGGGAAUUUUGGACAAUGGGCGAAAGCCUGAUCCAGCCAUGCCGCGUGCAGGAUGAAGGCCUUCGGGUUGUAAACUGCUUUUGUACGGAACGAAAAGGUUUGGCCUAAUAAGCUGAGCUCAUGACGGUACCGUAAGAAUAAGCACCGGCUAACUACGUGCCAGCAGCCGCCGUAA